UACAGAGGUCCCAAGCGUUGUUCGGAUUUACUGGGCGUAAAGGGUGCGUAGGUGGUCGGGUAAGUUUGGUGUGAAAUCUCCGAGCUUAACUCGGAAACUGCAUUCGAUACUGUCGUGCUUGAGGACUGGAGAGGAGACUGGAAUUUACGGUGUAGCGGUGAAAUGCGUAGAUAUCGUAAGGAAGACCAGUGGCGAAGGCGGGUCUCUGGACAGUUCCUGACGCUGAGGCACGAAGGCCAGGGGAGCAAACGGG
rnacentral:rRNA from 1 species